GGACAAAGAGAUAUAAGACAGGCUAUGUUUAAAGGGAAAAUGUGAGAAAACCAAGAGUCAAAACAGAAGUCCUCUUUCCUUGGCCCUAGGGGCCCACAGCCACUCCACUGUGACAGCGGAGAAAGCCAGCCUUCUCAGAGCCAUGCCUACAGACCUGGGACGGAUGGGAGAUCCUUUGAGGAAGAGAAUUCCGUACUGCCAAAGGGUUUAAGCUGUGGAAGGAGAUCAUUGUGGCCUUUAUCCUGUGAUGCUAAACAGACCUUCAAACCUCCUGCUCAUGUAUCUGGGACACCUGUCGGAAAGAGAGAAAUUGUUGCGUUUUCAUCUCAAACUUUCUUCUCCCCAACUCUGAAGGCUGCAGCCGAGGUGCCGCGCAGACUCAGUUGGGCUGCUUUUGCAAAGUCGGCACAGAUUCAUCACUUCGGGGAGCCAAAGGGUGACACAUACAUAUUUUGAAUAUUACCCUGUGUGGAGAGCUGCAUCACGGCUUGACUUGGGGAGCUUCCACGUCUUCACGUCUUCACACGUGGACCUUUUCCAUGGAGAUUUUACUUAAAAAAUAAUCCUCGAUACAAUUCUUUCAUUUGAAUUUUCUGAAAAAAUAUGCUGAGAACUUCCGUAUGUUAUUCCACUGUAGUUCCUCUACCAUCCUAGCCCCUUGGAAAACAAACCCCUUUCUCUUUAACAAAAAACACACAAUGACAAAUGCCCGGUGCUGUAGGAAUUAAGCUCUUUGGUUUGACCACCGUCUGUAGCAGACCUCAGAGAAGCGGGACAUCCUCUUGAACUGAAACAUCCGCGCAAGAAUUCCUCUAAACUUCCUUGCACUUCAUUGUAAGGAAAACUCCUUGACACUGAGCAUACUUCUCCGUCGCUGCCAGGCGUCUUUCUGUUUAUGUAGCCUUUGUUUACACAUGC
rnacentral:lncRNA from 1 species